AUUAGGCUUAUUAUCAAACAGGUGUCUGGCUGUGUUCAUAUCAAAUUGGGAACUAGGAGGACUCUCAAGACUGUCAGAUGAACCGUCGCAACGUCAAUAAACUAUUUAUUAUCAUUAUUAGUCAUAAUAAUAAUCAUCAUCAUAUUUAGCUACUGAAACAAACUAGCUUUUACCCACCGGUCCAAUGCUAAUGCUAAUGCUAUUCCCUUUGUUUUUGACUUGUGAGCCAAGAAAGAUGGAGGGAGAACAACAGGUAACCUCUCAGGACUCUCUAGGAGGGAAGCGGCCUUUACAACAAAUAAGCUCGAUAAUGAGGCUCCUCACACUGUGUUUCAUCCCCUGAGGAAUGACAGAAAUGUGGGACCAGCCAGAGAACUCAUCUGAAGGCCCAGUCAACCUCCCACUCCUGUGUUUCUUUAUAAAGCCACCAACACACGCCGACAGCAGAGAGAAGAAGAAUGAGAGUCCUGGAGAGGGAGGUUACCCACUCAGGUCACUGAGGUUUUCAUGCUGUGUCUCUACAGGCCAGUCCUCUCUCUCUCAGCUUGUUUUGGCCUCCUCUCAGCUGACUCUCUGCCUGGGAAAAUGUCCCAGUGUGUUCACACAGGAAAGGACCAGAUGAUAAGAGGAAGGCGGAGAACUCCACCAGUCGGAGUUUGGAUGUACCGAUGGAGCGGCCCUGCCAUGCUGGUGCUGUGGGAGCUGCAGCUGCUGUGGGCUCGUAACCUGCAGGGAAACGCAUACAUUUUACCAUACAGCAUAAAUAUGUUUCAGGACAUCAUAACAAAUAAAUCCUGAUGUCAUUCAA